rnacentral:rRNA from 1 species
AAUCUUCCGCAAUGGACGAAAGUCUGACGGAGCAACGCCGCGUGAGCGAAGAAGGCCUNCGGGUCNUNAUGCUCUGCUGUUAGGGNCGAACAAGUAUCGUUCGAAUAGGGCGGUACCUUGACGGUACCUAACCAGAAAGCCACGGCUAACUACGUGCCAGCAGCCGCGGUAAUACGUAGGUGGCAAGCGUUAUCCGGCAUUAUUGGGCGUAAAGCGCGCGCAGGCGGUCCUUUAAGUCAGAUGUGAAAGCCCACGGCUCAACCGUGGAGGGUCAUUGGAAACUGGGGGACUUGAGUGCAGAAGAGGAGAGCGGAAUUCCACGUGUAGCGGUGAAAUGCGUAGGGAUGUGGAGGAACACCAGUGGCGAAGGCGGCUCUCUGGUCUGUAACUGACGCUGGGGCGCGAAAGCGUGGGGAGCGAACA